UACAGAGGUGGCAAGCGUUGUUCGGAAUCACUGGGCGUAAAGCGCACGUAGGCGGAUGUGUCAGUCAGGGGUGAAAUCCCGGAGCUCAACUUCGGAACUGCCUUUGAUACAGCACAUCUGGAGUCCGGAAGAGGUGGGUGGAAUUCCUAGUGUAGAGGUGAAAUUCGUAGAUAUUAGGAAGAACACCGGUGGCGAAGGCGGGUCUCUGGACAGUUCCUGACGCUGAGGCACGAAGGCCAGGG
rnacentral:rRNA from 1 species